GGGAUUAUAGUAUAGUGGUUAGUAUAUCUCAUUGUGGUGUUUGAUCACAUGUUCUGAGACGACGCAGGUUCGAUUCCUGCUAAUCCCA
rnacentral:tRNA from 1 species